rnacentral:rRNA from 1 species
AUUGAACGCUGGCGGCAUGCUUUACACAUGCAAGUCGAACGGUAACAGGCCGCAAGGUGCUGACGAGUGGCGAACGGGUGAGUAAUGCAUCGGAACGUGCCCAGUCGUGGGGGAUAACUGCUCGAAAGAGCAGCUAAUACCGCAUACGAUCUAUGGAUGAAAGCGGGGGACCGUAAGGCCUCGCGCGAUUAGAGCGGCCGAUGUCAGAUUAGGUAGUUGGUGGGGUAAAGGCUCACCAAGCCAACGAUCUGUAGCUGGUCUGAGAGGAAGACCAGCCCAACUGGGACUGAGACACGGCCCAGACUCCUACGGGAGGCAGCAGUGGGGAAUUUUGGACAAUGGGGGCAACCCUGAUCCAGCAAUGCCGCGUGCAGGAAGAAGGCCUUCGGGUUGUAAACUGCUUUUGUACGGAACGAAACGGUCUGGGUUAAUACCCUGGGCUAAUGACGGUACCGUAAGAAUAAGCACCGGCUAACUACGUGCCAGCAGCCGCAGUAACAC